GGUCCAGGCGUUAUCCGGAUUUAUUGGGUUUAAAGGGAGCGCAGGCGGACUCUUAAGUCAGUUGUGAAAUACGGCGGCUCAACCGUCGGACUGCAGUUGAUACUGGGAGUCUUGAGUGCACACAGGGAUGCUGGAAUUCAUGGUGUAGCGGUGAAAUGCUCAGAUAUCAUGAAGAACUCCGAUCGCGAAGGCAGGUAUCCGGGGUGCAACUGACGCUGAGGCUCGAAAGUGCGGGUAUCA
rnacentral:rRNA from 1 species